rnacentral:rRNA from 1 species
UACAGAGGGUGCAAGCGUUGUUCGGAAUUACUGGGCGUAAAGGGCGCGUAGGCGGCCUGUUAAGUCGAACGUGAAAUCCCCGGGCUCAACCCGGGAACUGCGUCCGAUACUGGCAGGCUUGAAUCCGGGAGAGGGAUGCGGAAUUCCAGGUGUAGCGGUGAAAUGCGUAGAUAUCGGGAGGAACACCAGUGGCGAAGGCGACUUUCUGGGCUGUUCCUGACGCUGAGGCGCGAAAGCCAGGGGAGCGAACGGG